rnacentral:lncRNA from 1 species
CUCAGCAAGGCAAUUUUACUUCUAUACAAGAGUGCGUCUCAUGGAUGGUGCAAUGGCGAGAGCACACCGGAACAAGGGAGGGGAAUGGGUUCUUAUCCCUGAUGCAGGUACCCCCUACUGCUGUGUUGUUCCCCUAUGGGCUAGGGUUGGACCGCACAAUCUAAGCUAAUUCUGACUGGCUAUUUUAAAGAGAGCAGGGGUAUAAGCCAGAGUGGUGGGGUGAGAAGUUUAGACAGGAAAGAUGGUUACGGACCAGGUGACUAAAGGUGACUCAGGUCAGAGCAGGUGACAGAGGCUAGGAGGGGAUUGUUUACUGAAACUAGGGGCAAGGAGACAUAAAGAAUGAGGAAAUUAAAAGUUAAAAUGAAGAACAAAGAACAGGUGAGCUGAACAUACUGAUACAUUGGUUCUUUGGAGAGGAUCUCAGAACUCAAUGUACUUAACAAAUUACAGGCUAAAACCUUUGAAGAAGAAUUUAUGAUAUCCUACAUUAUCAUGGGGUAAACAAUUCGUCCCUGACAGAAUAAGGCUACUGGAGUUCUCUUCUUGUAACUCUGGGAAGGACUAGAGGGAACUGUGUCUGCAGUGGGGCCAGGUAGUUAAAAAGUCUGGACUGGGCCGAGCGUGGUGGCUCAUGCCUGUAAUCCCAACACUUUAGGAGGCCAAGACAGGUGGAUCACCUGAGAGUUAGUAAGAACCAGUGAAAAAGCAAUCACUUAUGAUCCUGGGCUUUGAAAAAUCACUGUGAUUAUCUUAUGCACUUACAAAUGAGACUAAGACGCCUGAUGGGAAAGUGCAGAUUGCUGGUGAGGAAGGGCAAUGAAGAAGAGACUAGGAACCAAAUUCAUCAUCAUUAUCACACAAAGGCAUUUGGAAAUGUCACCUUACACAUGGUGAGCACAUAUGGGUGCCAGCCCGAGACAGCAGGAUAAGUUUCACAAAACUUGACCAGGCAGGUUAGAAGCAAGGCAUGGUUCAGGAUGGCAGAGGGCAGGGAGACAGAAGGGAGUAGGAUGGGAGAGAAGAGCCAGCUGGAAGAUGAGUCAGGGGGUGCAACUGGGGAGAGCAGCUCUGAAUCCUGCUUCUCAGUGAGAAAGUUGCUAAGAUGGCUUUGCAGGGAGCUGUCCUAUCGCUGCUCGAGAUCAGCCUGCUGGGCCUAUGAUGAUAAGCAGGGCUGACCCUCUUGGGCUCUGUAGCUAAGCCCAAACCCUGCUGAAAAUGGGGCGGGGAGGUUGAGGCAGUGUGUGGCAAGUGACACAGACGGGGACUCCCAGCUGGGGGUCCCUGGAAUUACUUGACAUCCCACAGCUGGUGUCUUCAGCAGUCAUCUGGGGCAACAAUCCCACCUGCCCAUUGUGGUUGUUGAGGAUAUCAGAGCUUUUGUUUUAAAGCGCUUGCCACAAACUCUUAAGAUGCGGAUGGGUUUCCCCUGUGAAGCACUCCACAGGCGGGAUGCAGGCCCAUCUGAGGAGGGGCUUGGAAGGAAGAGGAGCACUUGAGACGGGGCAGAACUGGGCUGGCCUGGGGCUCAGCGACAGCUCCAUUGCAGACAAACUGGGCUGGGGAAGGCAGCUCCCACCUGGCAGAGGAUGCCCUUCUGCCCCCUGACAGGAGGGAGGAGACCACCGCAUCCCCGACUUUCAGCCCUCACGUGCCAUCUGGUGGCUUUGCUGCAGACACUGCCAUGAUCUGAGUGGUCUUUGGCAAUCACGCAUUGGCGGGAGUGUGAGGUUGCGGGGAAAGAGGGACUGACCAUGGGCCUAGGUGGGGAGGCCUGGCCACUGUGCCCACAGCUUAGGAAGGGACAGUCAGAGCUCCUCUUUGUUGCUAUCGACGGACUGAGCCAGAGGCCCUGGAGCCAGGGGGGAACCUAGUGGCUCUUGGUCGCCAAGCUGCUGGCUGCUGUCCUCCAGGCGCCUGCCUGUGGGGGCAUAGUCCCGCAGGAGCCUGCUCUCCACUCUGUGCUGCCAAAGGCUCUCGGUACUCACGAGUCCCUGCAUCCUCAGGUACCCCUGCUGGCAAAAGGGUGGCAACUUCUGGCGCGUGAGGGCGAACAGGAAGCAGG